ensembl:lncRNA
GUGUUAGGAAAUGUGGCAAGAUUAGGAAACAGUUAGUUGAAGACACUGGCUUGUACAAAGCUGACUAAUUCAGGCAAUGAGAGCUUUACAAGAUACAUUUUAACAAGAUAAAAGUUCAUCUAUGACAUACACAUAUGACAGACAACUCCUUGAUUUUGACAUAACAGCGUCAGUUACAUAAAUACCAAGAUGAAAUAUUGUCAGGUCAAUUCUGGGUAAUGAAACAUACAACCUUUUUUAUUAUUUGUUUGCUUUUUGGCUAUGGCAAUUCAAAUAAGGUUCUUAGUUUCAAAUCACAACAUACCUCAGGCAGCAUGCAGGGAAAAAAGUCAUUUAUUUUGUACAUUUGUAUGACACACCUUGCAACAAGCUUUCAUUUCCAGUAGUUAGCUCAAGAAUAUAGGAACCAUUCAAAUAAUAGUUUUGCUUAAGUUAGCAUUUGUAUUGACUGGACCAAUGAACAAAUCUGGUAAAAAAUAAAAACUAUCUGAAAUCAUUCGUUAACAAAAUUGCACAGUGAUCAUAAACUCAAUUCUCCUAAAAGAAACCCAUCUUUCAUUAUUAGUUCUCAUCAAUCAGUGAGACAGUAGCUGUGUUAAGUCUGGAUUCCUAGAGCCAGCUAUAUGGAGCAGAAACUCAUUCUCUUCUCUUGUAGGUUCUCACGGUGACAGAAAAGAUGCUGACCAUUGGAAGUCAGAGAUUUGGAUGACAGAGCUAUACAAACGCACAUACAUUGGAUGUCUCAGAGUCUUAAAUAUUUUUUGGGUUACUUUACAAACCGACUAGUUCAACAGGCAGCUUAAAUCACAUAUACCUUAAGAUUUAGAAAAUACAUUUUGUACAAUAAGUGUCUAAUUUCUUCACCACCAAUUUCAUUUGGUGUUCCUUGUCUUUAUGCUUGCAAUCCUUGAAGAAAUUGUGAAUAGAUACAUAUUGAUGGCUAAGGCUGAUAAGAGUCAAUGUAAUUAUUAUCUUCUCACAGAAAUAUGGCUGAGUACACAUUGGACCAGAGUCAGCAAAAAACAAGCUAAAGGUCACAAUAACUUUUUAAAAAGUCAAAUAAGUCAACUCCCUUUUAAGAACAGCAAUUUGAACUCAAUCCAGGAAAUUAAACAUAUCUCUUACAAAACAUUGGAUUUAUUUUAAAGGGCUAGUUCUUGGUAGCUAUAUUUCAGUGCAGUACAUUGAUUAAACUCAGGGACUACACUGAAUGUCUCAGUUUAUCAACAUGGCAUUACUUCUUUCAAGGUGGUAGAUUGGGUCCCUAGAAAAUGGAUUGUGUUUUCAUUCCCUUUAAGCACUUAAAAUAUAGUUUUUUAAUGACUUGUCCCUCUACAUUCGUCAACAUUCUACCAUUGAAAUUGAUGCCUUUAAUUUGGAAGAAGUGUGUGACAUUCCCAAAUGCAAUCCAAUGCCUUAUUGUCUUAGAUCUGAUAAAUUAAUCUAGCGUCAUGACUGUGUUAACCUAAUGUGAUUUCUACUCUUAUUAUGGAUUUGUUUCAGAUAAGGUUACCUCACAAUUUUAACUUUUCUUUACUGCAUUGAUUUAAAAAUCUUAGUGAUAUUUUUCUUGGUCCUUAUAUAUACAAAAUACACUUUUUUCAAAAGAUAUUAGGAAAUAGGACGAAGGUACCUCACAAUCACAGUCAUAGCAAAAGAGACUCAAUUACAUUGUACAGAUCAUUAAAGACUAAUCUUUGGCAAAAAAAGAUUUUUACAAAUAUGUCACUAAUUUUAAAUCUAAUUUUGAAUGUUUUACUUCUUGUUUCAGUUAUGUGGUCACUCUAAUACUAAAGUUCAACAGGAAAACACCACAAAUAUAAAAAUAAAUGAGUUUAGUACAUUUACUUUUUCAUAAUGCUUUUUCAAAGAGUUUUGAUUAAUUUCAGAGAAUUUUCACACGAGUAUUUCUGACAGUAAAUGUUACUUGAGAAGGUCACAAUUUUCCCAAUACAUUUGGAUUACACUGUGCCACCUCUUCUCUUUUGUCACCACCCAGGAUUUUUAACACUGAGACUCACCAAAUAAAUUUAAUAUUCUCGAUGUUUGUAUAGCUUUAGAUCGCUGUACAACAUAGUUUUCACCAAAUGAGUUGUGUAUGCAUGAGUAUGUGUGUAUGCCCUAUGUGUGAAUAUCCUCACAAUGGUAAGGCUUAUAAUUUACAUUCAGUGGCAUAAAGAAUGAGUUGAAUAUAUGAAAAUUGCAAGGGAAGUGAAGUUUUCAGAGAAAGGAAACAGGACAAUUGGGACACUUUAUUGAAUCAAACAGGGGAAAUGGAGUGAUUGCCUACUCUUUCUCUCAUGUUAUGAUGGCAAAAAUUUUCUUUUACAGAAAAUAUACAUUCCAUUUGCUAUGACUCCUUUGUUCUAGUAGUACAGGACCUCAUGAGUUUAUUCUUGCUACUUGCCCAAUGUUCAGGCUUGUAGGCCCCUGAUCAGUUUUCAGGGUAUUUAGAUUCCCAUUAAAGACAUCACUUGAAAUUUCUUUAUAUGGAUUGUUUGUUUCACUGGCUCAAGCUGAGUUCUAAAUACCAUUGCGUCUCACCAUACUUGUGGUCUUGGCCAAAUAGCCACACAGAAUUCCUAAGUCUUGAAAUUUGGGGAGAAUAAAUUCCCUCACUUCACUUUCUCUACCUUCUACACACACCAUUAAUGACAUUGGUUGUUGAGGUCUUCUAUACAACAUAUACAGAAUGUACAAUAGGUCCCCUCCUUCCCUCUUGUCUAGAAACUGUAAGUGUUUCCUCAUUGUGAUCGCUCUAAUAUCAACAAAUAUUUAUAGUUGAAAUACAUGGGGGAGUUCCCCAUUGCAAUAGUAGUGGCACUAACCACUACUUUUAUGGCUUAUUAGAUUAUAUUAUUAAGUUGUGCCACCAAACUCUUUAAAUGAUAAGACACUGAUUGAUGAAACUAUUGGGGCAUUACAACAAAUAAACAACCCUUCCCCCCAAACCAAUAUCCUUUACUCUUAAAAAUAUGGGCUUCGAAUUAACUAUAAAAACAUGGGUUACCCUAAGGAUAUUUAGCUUUCUGGCCAUCCCUAACACCUUCCAGUUACCCAUAUGAAGUUUACAAACCAAAAUUGACUUCAAUCUUUCAAGAUUCCUGCUAGUGGGUGACAUUAUCAUAUAAUUUUUCCUUUGAUAUUGCUUAUAAGGCUAAUCAUUCAUGUCCUUAGUCUUGGACAUUGAAAUAUCUAUAAGAAAACACUAGUGAUUGGUUGAAUGGACUUGCAAAGGUAUGGUUAUGGCAGUGCUUAAGUUUUUCUAGAGGGAUAUCAGUGAGUAACCUCCAGUGUCUCUGAGAGUCCCUUCCACCAGAGGCAUGUCUCCACCACCAAGAGGACUGUGUGGACAUGUGUAAUGUAAAAGAUUAAACAGAGAUCCUGGAUGAAAUGGAGAAUGUACAUGCAAGUAGACAAGACACAGGUACCAUCAUUAACCAAGUGGAAUCUUUUGAAAAGACAUAUCAAGGGAGGAUUAGAUAUAAAAAGCGAUCCUCCUAGCACAAGAUCACCCAAAUGCUCAAGCUGUGAGUAGAAGGCAAAAGGUGAAGGGUCAAGGUCAGAUUAUGGACUCAGGCAGAACACAAAGUUUACUUUAUUUGCAUUUGAAAUAAUCAAGAGUUCUGGGAGAAAAAAAAUCAUAAAACACUGGAUUCCUGGCUCCUACUGAAGCAACAUGAGGCUGUUGAUGCAGAUGAAAACUGGACUUCAAAUAUCCAGAGGUUUUUUUUAUGAUGGUUGUUAAUUCAUACUAUCUGGAUGAUUGAAAUAAUCAGUUCUCCUUUAUAUAUUGGACAUCACAUUGUUAUGGCCAAUUAUAACUCCAGAAUAGGACUUGGUUGAUUUGACUAAUUAAAAAAUAUAAACCACCUAGAAUAGUUAAAUGCUUUCAUAAUUUUCCUUCUGCUUUUUAUAAUUUUAAUCCCCAGGAUAUGCUGGACAAAUUAUCUAUGAUUUUCCUGCUACUAUCUACCUAUUUAGCAUACAUGUUACUGGGGGGAGAGGGCUUGAAGCUGUACAACUUACAGCUGUUGUAAAAUGGUGACAUUUUCAUUUUAUGUCUUGAUGUUUCCCCUUUAACUGCAUUUCUGUAUCAAAAGGGAGAAUCAACAUAUUUGUAAAUAUUUUUCACUCUUGUAAUCAUGGGUAGAUUCUUGACCAAUACAAAACAAAACAAAAAAAAAGAAAAUAUACCUUGAGAUUGUUUCUCUAAGUGAUUAUUCCUGAACAUUCCUAAUAACCAAGAUUUUCCUAAAUCAAAUAAAACUUCUAGAGUCCUCAGAAGUCUUCUGGAAACUUUUAUAUUGCCUGUGGCCUAAAGGUUACAUGAGCCACAGGAGCCUUUGAAAAUCUUUCCUUCCACAAUAAAACAAGUUCAUUUAUAGCUAAUAAUAUUUUUCAUCUUGUUAGCCAUUUUGCUAUGUCCAUGCUCAUUCUUCAGACCAGGACAGUACAGCAGACAAGAGCACUAGGCUAGUUAUAAACUGGAUUUACAGUGGAGCCAGGGUGUUACCACCAGCAAUCAAACAGGAAGGCAAAAAACAUGUCCAAUGUCUCCUCUUAAAAGCUUCAAGACAAAAGAGCUGAGAACUCGAAAGCAGACACACAUAGGAGAAAAUCUAUGAUAUUUGAGAAUGUUUGGGGACUCUGCUAAUUCAUCCAUGUGUAUUGAUAAAUAUUACUUUUCCUUUAUAAUGCUGAAACUAUGUACUUCUUGGUUGACUCUAAAAAGCUUAUACUAUUUUUGCCCACAAAGAAUCAGACUAUUAAGCUUCUUCCUGGGAGCAAGUUGGUGUGCCCUGAGGGACUGUAUUAAUACUAUCAGACCCCGUAGUGAGCAGACAGUAUGAAGUAAAAUAAAGCAGCUUAUGUCUUCCUGGGAUAAAGCUUAUAUGUUGAAGGAAUCACAAUAUUUAAUUAGUUCCUAACAUACUUGUGUGAGAUUGGGUGGGGAAGAUAGGGGGAAUAGCAAAUGUGAGAUUUUUAAUUAAAUGAUGGAAAGUAUAGAGAAGUUAAGCAGCUUUCCAAGAUCCACAUCAAGUUAAAGAUAGAAAUACAGAUCAAUCAGAGAUCUCUUGACCCAGGUCUGGGGUUAUCUUCUUUAAGAGGUUUGUAUUUCAAGCAAUCUCUGGAUAGAUUCCAAGUCCUUUAUUCUAAAUUCCAUCAUUAAAAGUUCCCUGAAUGAUUCGGGCAUGUGUACUAUUACAUAUUUUUUUCUCUUUAAAAGGAGUAUUACAUAGUUAGGAUCACAGAAUCUCUUGAGUUAAGAGUAGACUGUACAGAUCCAACCAAUAGCCCAAUACCAAUGUCCUUUACAGUAAUCUUUCUAGAGUCAUCCAGCCUCUGAAGAACUUUAGUGAUAAGGGAUUCUGUGUCUCCCAAGGCAGCCCAUUUUAUUUUUGCACAUCCUUAAUUAUGUUUCCUUAUAUCAAGUCAAAAUCUUCCAAGCUCUUCUGUCCUUUCAAAAUAUAAAGCAAAUCAACUGAAACAUUUUGAAAAAAAAAAAAUUUGUAAAACUGUGAAACUGACAUCAGAAAGUCUGUUUACAGGCCUGUAAAAGGGUCUCUACUCUUUAGAACUCAGGGGACACAUUUUUUAACUGCAAUAAGAGAUGCAGUAAAAUCAUUUAUUGCCCUACAAGAGGUACCCAGUCAUAUGUCUAGCCUCAUCAACUUUCAUCCUGGAGACACCUGUAACACUAAAUUUCAACUAAAUGAAGAAGCAUCUAUUCUUUUAUAGCCUUCUUUCAGGUAUGUCAUACAUCAGGACCCAACAAAGGUGCAAAGUGACAAAGAAUAAAAGGGCAUCUACUUUCAACAAUGGAAUUUUGGCUGGAAGACUGAUACAGCGUUUAAUUUCAGCUUCUGGGAUUGAUUGGCAGGCCUGGGUCAGUACUGGAGGUAGGGCCAGAGGAAAGGGCAGAGGAACGAGACAUGCAUGAAUUGGAUUCAUAGUCCAGGAAAAAAAAAAGUUGAUUUGACUUGCAUAUUCUAUGGCCUUAAACAAGGCCAUCUUCUCAAUGAUUGACAGUGGAACUAACAUAGUUUAAGGCAGCUUCUGAAGAAUGCUUAUGCUGCAUUUUCUAAAAAAUCUACCCUUCCAGUCUACAUUUUCCUAAUCAAAAUUGAAAUGGGGGCCAAAGCCAACCAGAGAACUCUUCAAAAUAUAACACACAGAUGCCUUUUGCAAAAUGAAAAGCAGGUGUAUGCAUAAAUGCAUCCUAAUGAGGGAAGGAAGUGGAUUUUAUUCCAGAAUGACUAGAGGAACAAUGACAAGAAUUCCUCUGUAAAAAGCUCCUUUGCUCUUCUAAGUUCUGACUCAGCAAUGGAGCUCACUAGGGCACUGGUUCUAAUGGAAGACACCCUUAGGUUUUGCUUCACCUCAUACAAUUGAUUUGAGACCUCCUUGCUAAUAAAGUCAUAGUAUGUUACUACCAUGGCAUUUAAGGGAUUAUGGUUUCUGAUGUAUUAGUUGGGAUCCCUUCAGAAGCAAGUUUACAGGAAUCUGGCUGAAACUUUCACUGUUUACAUGACCUGAGUUCAACAGUAACUUUCCUUUGCUGUGGAUAAGCCUACAGAUGCUGGAUAAAUUUUUUCCUUCACAGGCUGUGCAUGGCAACAGGAUUAUAAUUUCCAUCUGACUGUGGGGUAGGUUGUUUUGUGGCAGACAAGAUGAUUGCUAGUGAUAUAUGUCCCUUUUUGUAAUUUUCCUGAGCUUUCAUUUGCUUUGUCCACAUUACCGUGGGUGCAUUUAAGGGCAAUUGGAAUCUGUGCAAAACUCAAGCCUUACGAAAUCCUUUCCCCUGAUUCCUUCCCCCUUCCCCCUUCAGGAUAGCUGUCCUAAUUUCUUCCUGUGCAGGAAUUCUGUCUACCACUAUACACUCUGCUUUAAAAUAAUUCCUAUUAUAAAGUAGAACAAAGACCUAGAGGACAAAAAGUAGAAAAGCUUGUUUUCUGUGGGAAAUUGUGUUUGAAAUAAAGGGGGAAAAAGGCUACUAGGGCACAGAUAAGCUAUUAUGUUUAUUAGUGAUUCCACUGAAUUCUCUCCUUGCAGUUUUCUAAACUCUCUGUAGUCCUCAAGAAAGAACCAUUGUUUAUAGUUGAGGGAAGUAAAUCAGGAGCUGAAACCUGUAUCAAGCCCCACAUGACCUCAAAGGCAUUCAAGGCAGAGAUUGAGGAUUAUAGGAAAUUAUAAAAGUUAUAUUUUUUGUUGUGGAGCUUUUUCCACAAGUUAUUCCUAAUAUCCUGAAAUAAACUCAUUCAUCACAAGAGAAAAGCUUCUAGAUUCAAUUAGUCAGAGAAAUGGACAGAGACCAACUCUAGUGAUUAUUGGCAUAGGACUGAUAGUUUUUUCUCCUAAAAACCAUCAUAUCUAUUUUGUAUAUUCCUAUCUAUCCAUUCAUCCAUUCAUCCACCCUACCAUCAGACCUAUCUAUCACAGCAAAACUAAUCAAUAAUAAGAAAUUGUACCCAUUUAUGUAAUUUCUUAUCUCCCUGACUAUAAGAUAAAACUUAUAAGGCUUUCAAGUUCCCAAGAGCAAGAAUUGCUUUUUUUUUUGUCUCUGCAUCUUCAAAGUCUAAGGAGUAAUGAUUAGUAAGGUUAACUGAUUAUAGAGCUCAAUAUAAUUGAGACCAGAUUUUGACCAGAUAAGUGAGCUUGAGGAAAUACAGAAAAAGCAGUACUAGUGCAACUAAAUAGGAAAAUGAACCUUGUUUUCCAGUUCCUCCUACCCACUUCCAUUUAUCAAAGAUUGAAUAUAAAGGAAAUGAGUCAGUCUGUUAAUAGAAAGCUUAUUUGAGACUUUCAGAUAGCUACUUAGAAGUUCAAUUAAACAGAUUUGGAAGGUAAAUUUAAUUGAAUUUCAUAUAUAAUGAUCAUUUCCCAUCUAGUGUUUAGUCUCUUAGAUUACUGGAACCUUACUCUUCAUUAAUGAAAUUCAAUUUACAUUCAAAUUAUUUGGUCAAAGCUCUAUAGGUGUUUUAGAUUUGCAUUAAGCUUGGGCACUAUUUGCCUGGGAACUGUGAUUUUUCAAUCCUUGCCUAGUCAAAUCUUUUUUCCUGAAAAUUUUUGCUACUUUUGUGGAGGGGCAGAUAAGGAACUAAAUGUAUCAUCUAUUUGAGAAAUUCCAGGUAUUGAAAUUCUCAUUGAUACAGAUGAACAAUUUAUUUGUAAUUUAGACAACCAAAGUAAGAUGCUGGUACCUAUCAGUUAUCCUACUUAAUUUCCUCUCUUGUGGCCACUUAUAUGAUAGAACUUCUUGUGGUCCUUAGGAAACCAUGAAUUAGUUAUGGGAAGAAAUUUUGGAGAUUUAACCCAUAGUUCUAGAGAACUGCCUGGGAAAUUGAGUAAAAUGAUUGGUUGUUGGUCAUACAGCUAUUUUUGUGUUAGAGGCAGGACCAAAACUAGGCCUCUCUAUUCUGAAUGCCAUGCUGCCUCAUUGAUUAAUAAUUAUUUCAAAACAAGCAUCUUGAUAUGGUUUACAAUUGCUUAGUUAUUUGUAAUUUCCCCCUCAAAUUAAUCUUGCAUCAGAUCUAAGUUUGUUUUGUUCUCUGUGUAGAUAGAGAGUAGCAUUUAAAGUCUUGUAUUUUGCAUUUAGUGAAGUUAAAUGUCAGUACCACUAGACUACAAACUCCUUGAGAAGAGGGACUUUUAUUUUUAUUCCCAGUGAUUAACAGAAUGACUUUCCACAUGGCAGGUGCUUAAUAAGUCCUUUUUGAAUUAAAUUUAAUUAAAGUCAGAUUUCUGACUAUGGAAUGGAAGCUAUACUUUUUGUGCUGGCCCAGUCACAUUUAUAAGAAUUGGAAAGCAACAGGAAAAACUCUUUGACUUUAAGCUGAGAAAACAUUCUGAAGAUACUCUUGGUUUAGCCAAUAAGAAUUAUUUUCAUUUCUAAUAUUCUAGGCAAGUAGAUACUCUGAUUUUUUCUAAAAAGCUUUGGGCUUCCAGAGAGAAGAAAAAGAAAAGUCAUGUAAGCAACAAUUAUGAGACUUUCAAUUAUAGCUAUAAGUUGACAUGGAGAGCAUGUCAUGAGAGAGUAAGGAUGUGGAGAGACAUUUUAACAAAUACUCAGCCACUCCUAUGAGAUGAACUUUCUGGCCCAAUCUUCAACUCAUUGCUUAUUGAAAUAUGCCCAGAUGAUUAGUAUAUUAAACUAAAUUAAGAUUUAGUUUUCAUGAUUUGGCAAAAAAAAAUUUAGCCCCAAAUCAAAAUCCUUCCAUUUGGCCAACUAAUUUUUGUGGAGCUCCAAGUGCUAUAUAGGUAUAUAGAUAGUUCUAGAGAGAAUAUUUAUUAUAGUUAAUUUGCUAAAUCUUGUUACUUGAGAUUUUUGCUUCAAAAGAUCAUAGAUUUAAAAUUGGCAAGAAUCUUAGAAGUCAUCUAAUACAACUUCUCUUCGACUACAAAAAAAAAAAAAAAAAAAAAAAGAAUACUUGGUACCUUUCUUUACAUUUCAACAGUUGCUUAACUAGGGAAAUAAGGCCUGGGAAUUUGGACUGGGCAAUCUCGCCAACUAUCUGCUUCCCAGGAAAUAUCAAUGCCACUAUGUUGGUAUUUAAAUAGAUUUUCAAACUUUUAAGGACUAUAAUAGCCUCAGCAUUGCAGUUCCUCCUCUCUAUUAAUAUUUGCCCUUCAAUUGCUAUCAAGCAAUGAAUCAGAAACUAUACAUAUAGAUUGGGCUUUGAAGUGUCAGUGGAUUUCACAGAUAGGACAUUGACAAUGGUCAUUUAAACACAAAUUACCCAUAAUUUUCUAUAAAAAUGGCUAUUUAAAAGAAACCCCUUUAAUUUUAACUUUUAACUUCUGAAAUGUUUCAUUUUAGAAAGAAGUUAGAAGAAAUGUUUUCUCAAAGCCGUAAACCAUUUUCUCUUCACCUUAAAAGAACUCUAUUCUAUCUUUCUCUAAUAAUUUGGAGCCAUUUCCAAAGAAAGUGUUCAGGGACUGAGUACCAACAAUAGUAAAUGGAAAAGCAGAGACAGGUUCAGGAAGAACUCUGCUCACUUGGUUUUCAGUUAGGCUCAUUUCUCAUUACCAGAAUCAAAUUAAUUAUUGGAGAAAUUAAGUCUAUUCCCAGAUCUCUUCUGAAAUAAAGAACAUACAAAUUUCAAAGGCCAAAGAGAACAAUCAGUAUCAAGAAGAAUAUUCUAAUCCAAGGACUAAUAGUGUCUCAUGAGAGCAUCCUCUGUGUCUCAAAAAAAGAAUUUUGAGAGCAGACUCCCUACUUCCUCUCCUCUUCUAUAUCUUUUCUUCCUCCUCCUUUUUCCUCCAUCCCGCUUUUCCCUCUCUCCCACCCCUUCUCUCUCAUUUUGUCUGGUGUAUCUGUCAAAGCAAUCUCUUCUUUACCCACAUUAUUCCUGUUCCUCUUCAAUACAAUAGUAAAUAUUUGGAAAUGACCCUCUUAAAAUCUUAAUAUGACAUUCUUGAAAUUCAUGCUUUGAGAUGAUGUUAUGGCUGAGAUGGGGGUUAUUGUAACUCCUUUCCAAGCAAUUCAAAGGUGGUCCUGCCUGAUACUGAAUUCUAUGAUUUAAAAAAUGUCAUUUUUUUCUAUAGUUUCUGGCAUACUGAUAUAUGUAUAUAUAUAUAUAUAUAUAUAUAUAUAUAUAUGUAAAGUAUCAAUUUGCUUUCAUACAAAAUAUUUCCUUUUCCUCUUUCAAGGAGAUCUGUGGUUUUUUUUAACUUUUAAGCCAAUUUAUUGGUAAUGGAUAACAGCAUCUCUUAUACCAAUGGCAGGAAAAAGCAAUUCAUUUCAGUAGAAUUUUCUUUAUGUGAAGGAGUAAAUAUAUGAGACAUUGCUCCUAGGACACUCUCUCUUUCUCUCUCUCUCUCUUUCUCUCUGAUAGCUCAACCCAUGUCAAGAUAAAACUUAAAUUGCCAUCUUUUAUCAGAGAGCAUGCUGUGUCUGGUUAUUGGGGAAAGAUUUCUAGACUGUGCAUAGAUGCUUAGUAUUACUAAUUUACUUUACCCCAGGACAAAUAGAAUGGGAGGCAUUCAGUGUUUUGAUUUUGGAAGAAAGUACAAGUCAACUUCCUCAAAUUAUUCCUAGCCUCUUGAUUUGAACCAUUAUGUUCUGAGUUUUAUUGAAAAUAAAAGUAAGGUCAUAAUAGAUGAAAAAGCAAGUUCUAUUUAAUAUAAUUCUCCUUGAGAAGUUUGCAAACUAGGAAUGUGGAUAUUUCCAUUUCACAGUCAUGUAAAUACCACCAUAACACAUAAAUUGCAUCAUUUUGGCUAUGAAUUUUUUAUUUGUUCUUCAGGUAAAGAAUAAAAAAGAAUUGAAUCUGAUUAGUGGUUGAAAGUAUUAAUAGUGGUAAAUUAAAAAAAGUAAAAACUUCUCUUAAAUAGGUAACCAAAAUUUAUGUUUUAGAGGAUUUUAUCUAUUUUCUUAAGCCUGUAGAAAAUAAAUUUCUUGAAAGCAAUGACUAUUCUUAUUUUUUUUCUAAAAUGAUUAUAACAGUAAGCACAAUUAGGUGCUUAACAAAUGCCUGUGAAAUGUAUUUAGUGUUUUAGAAUCUGCCUCAUAUUGGCUGGUUUGGGCCAUACUACUUACUUGGUUUAGAGGUCAAAAUAACAUUUGAUUUAUAAUGACUUUGACUGAAUUGACAUUAAUUUUGGGGAAACUAAUAACAACCAUAUUAAAAUAGCAUCAACCUCUAAAAAGAAUUAAUUGCCAAGUCAUUAGGCUGUAUUAUUUCGAGGUCACAUGUAUUGAAGGAAAAAAUGGAAACUCCUGAAGACAUUUUAAUGAGGCAUAUAUACUGGGCCAGCACAUUCUAGAAAUUAACACUAUCAAUUUUGGAUGAGCUGUUCAUAAAACUAGAGUGGAAAACUCUGGUUUGAGCAACCCCUCAUUGGCUUCAGUCCCCCUCUUUAUGUCCAAGAAAAUCCUGUUUUAAUAUUUGGAAUUCAGUUUUUUGUUGCUUCUGGCUUUAUCAAAUAUGUGUGGGGAAAGAAGAGAAAAAGAAGGAAGUGCAGAGAGUUACCACACUUGUCUGUAGUCAUAAUUAUGUCAGUGUUGAAAGAUCUAUGAAGCUCUUGUAGACAAGAAUAAUAUUGGGGUAGAGAGCAAUGAUAUGAUCAUUCUUUGUGCUAAUUCCCUUGGGUUUUGAUAUAGCUUUAGUUAAUCACUGUAAUCUCUACCCAUCCACAUUAUGUUUGGCACAUUACUCAAAAGCACAAAUAUUAUUAAUAUAAUACAUUUUUAAAGCUUUUGUCUUUAGAAUAAUUUGUAAGUGGCUCUGUCAAGGACAUAAACAUAAAUAAGUUCUUAAGAAGGCAAAAGUACAUAAAUAUGGGAUUUUUGGUAUUGUGUUUAGUCUUUUGUAAAGUGUCCCUUUUUUUUUUUCAAUAUUUAAUCCUAAUUGGAUCAACUUAUCGUUGUUUUGUUUGAAAUGUUUUAGAAAGUACUGGUACCCAUGGAUAUUUUUCAUUGUUUUCCCUUUCCAUCUGAGUUGAGUGUGACAUGAUUCUUUAAUCCUUAUAUGAGAGGUUGGGCAAGUAAAUUUAGAAUCAUAGGAACACAGAAUUUUAGGAUUGGUCUCUCAGAAGAACAAGACUUUCUUCUUACUAAGUGGUAGAUAAAUAGCCUUUUCUAUGUGAUCUGAGAAGUUUGUUAAUAUGUCCCAUGUAACAGAACUGGGGAAAUCAGUUUUUAAAACAAACCCAACAAUCACCACUUUUUUCUUAAAAGAAAGGGACAGAUAUUGAGCUUCAUAGGAACUAUUCUAUAAAUCCAGUGUUAUUCCAAUGCCUCAAAUCACUUAUAGCCCUGGCUUUGGUCAGUUGAACCUACAUAACCCUUAAGGAGUAAAUUAGGCUUUUAGGGAAGUGCCUUUACAAUUCAAAUGGGACUUAGUAAAUUCUGGUAUAAAGUGGUUUCCAAAUAGAAAUAUUUGAACUACUAUGAAAUUUGAAUUUCAUUAGAAGGAAUUUUUUCCACCAUAGAAAAGGAUUUGAUUCAUUAUUAAUAUGUGGUAAUGAUUAUAUCUCCAUGCAUUAUGCUUAUUAGUAUUUACAUAAUUUACCUUUUUGAAGAGAAACUCUUCAAAAGGGGAAAACCUUUUCAAAUUAAUGAUUAAUUGUAUUGAUAAAAUGAAGAGGCAAAUAUCUUCUUUGAUGCUCAGUAAUUACUUUUCCUGAAAUAUGAGGAUAGAGAAGGAUGAAAAUGUGUUAUAUACUUUACCCUCCACUAAAGUACUAUUCCAAUAAUUGUUUUAUGGAGAUGACAAUGUCAUCUGAGGGUAUGCUUUAGAAAGUCUUGCCAAAUUGAAGUAGCUGAGGACCAAUCUAGUUAAAUUCAGACAGGUUUAUAGGUUGGUCAUUAACUCACUAGUUUUUUAGCCUCCAUAGAAUAUAAAAUCCUUGUGAUUACAAGUGCAGAAAUAAUGAAACAUUCCUUGGGAUUAUUUCUGCACUUGUAAUCCUAGUACCUAGCACAGUAAGUGGCACAUGAUUAAUGCUUGAUAAUUGUUUCUUGAUUGACUGAAGAAAUAGUCUAGUAAGUCUAGUAAGGAGUCCAAGGAUGUGAUCUGUGAUAGUAGACAGAAUAUCCCCACUGACAAAAUAACAUAUCUUUCAAAAUGCCAUUAAAUAGAAUUUCCACAUAUCACACUAUGUCCUAACAAACAUUUGAAGGGUUAUGAUGAGGAAGAAGAUUAUUUUGUGAAGACCAAGUAAAAGUUGCAAAGAGGCAAGUGUGUAUUUGAUGUCAGGAAAUAACUUCCCAACAUAUAUCAAUUCAAAAAUGGAAUAGGCUAUCAAAGGUGGUAAUGGAUUCCUUUUCCCAAGAAAUCUCUAAAUAAAAAGCUAGACAGACAUUUAUUAUUUUCUAUAGAUGAAUUGUUGUAUAAUUAUGGGGCUUUGUCUGUGGUAAUGCUGUUAAGACUCAAAUUCUGUGAAUUGCUCUCCAUACUGAAAUGAAAUUAUACUUUGUUAUUUUUUUUUGAAAGUAAGGAAAGUAAGAUCAUUUUCUAAAGAAAAAAUAUUUCCAUGUAAUUCUUGGAGUAGAUGGCUCAAAUGUCUGAGAUUCAUGUCUAGACUUAAAGUCUUAUAAAUCUCAUUACUCAGUAUUUAUUGAUCUGCAAACAGCCCACUGAAGGUAAUGAAAUUAAGAAAUUUGUUAGUGGUGAUGUAAGAAGCUGAUUUGGUGAAAUUUAGGAAAAGAAAGCUUAAAGUGUUUUAAAGAAGGGCACAUUCUUUGAAUAGUGGCUUGGUUGAAUUAAUUUUGGAGACUGUCAUCACUCAGGUAAAAUUAUGGUUUUAGGUAAACAUUCUCUUUUGUUAAGGCUAAGUUGGAUUUUUAUUGCUUGCUAAAGAAGCUGUUCUGCAGUGAGCAUUUCUAAAGUGCUUUAUAGUUGGCAAAACACUUUACAAAUAUUAUCUCAUUUUGUCCUCACAAUAAUUCUGGAAGAUAAGUCACUAUUAUCUUCGUUUUGCAAAUAAGGGAAAUGAAAUGAAUAAUGGUUAAAUGACUUAUCCAGCCUCACAUAACUACAAGCGUCUAAGGCCAUUUUUGAAUUCAGGUCUUCCUAAUUCUAGAUUUAGGACUCUAUCUACUGUGUCACAUAGAUGUCUCAUCUAAAUUAUUGGAUAAAGUUAUUUGUGGAACUGAGCAAAUAUUCAUGGAUUCAUUUCUUAAUUUAAAUUUAACUUAAUUUCCAAUGGUGAUAUUAAAACAACCCAAUGGGCUUCUUGUAGCAGAACUGAAGACUUAUUAUGGUCAAAGUGAAUUUUCUUGGACAUAACUUUUGUUCCCAAAGAGUCAUGGAAAGCUAAAUACUCACCACUUCUUGAUUGCUGGCCAGAUGAUAGUUUCAGUUGAGACUUAGUUUGAUUUUGUCACACCCACAGACAGUGACUUUCCCCCUUUUCUUUCUCACCUGUUACUGAAUGCUGCUUUCAUAUUCAAGAUAUUUUCAUGUUGGAGAUAACAGUAAUCUGAGAAUAACUAAAUAGGGACUGAAAAUUUUAACCAUUUUUACCCAUUUACUUGCCAGGUGUUUAAAUGAGUUCAGAGUACUUCCAAUGAAUUUAAAUGGCUUGAAUGAGGUGACUGCUGGGGUACCUUUAAUUCAAAAAUUCUAUGAUCCUGUACUUCUUUGUGAUGGACAGAAAAAACUCACAUGCUCAUCAAAGAAUAAUUAUAGCCAAAAUAACGAUAAAAGGACACAGUUCCAAAGAAAGGGUACAGAUUCAAUUUACAGAUUAUAUCUAGCCUUCAAUAAAGUUUGAAGGAACUUUAAAAAAUCCAAAUAUUUUAGCAUAUUCUUUUUAUGAAAAUUAAAUCUGGCCCCCUUUUUUGCUUCAUUUUUAAAAUAUAAAGAUAAUUUUUUCUUUUAUCUGAUGAAAUUUUGCCUUUGUUCAGUUUCAUUAACAAGUCCUUGGCAAGGAGGUGAUAUCACAAACUACAAAAUCAAAUGCCAACACUGAUUAUUAGUGUUGCACACGGUCAUUCAGGAGAUGGCCAGCCAAGAUCCACUUGAGGUUUUAAGAAUGAUUUUUAGACAAAAGAAUUUGGAAAUAGGAGUUGAAAAUCAGUCUGGGAUUUACAUGAAGGGCUGAAGAAAAAUUUUAAUUGGCUACUCACUAUCUUGAUGAUUUAGGGAUUACUUUUCAUGUUGAAAGUCUUCAGGGGUUCUCUUAUGGACAAGGGAAAGAGUGAGGCUUACAGAGGGCCUCUUCCAGGGCCAUUUUGACUAUAGUGAGUGAAAGGAGUUAAUGGAGCGUAAUGAUAAUAGCCAACAUUUCUAGUGUGCUUACUUUGUGCUAGGCACUGUGCAAAGCAUUUUACAAUUAUUAUCUCAUUUGAUCCUCACAACAACUUUGGGAGGUAGGUGGUAUUAUUCGCAUUUUACAGAUAGGCAAACAGAGAGGUUAAGUGACUUUCUCAGUAUUGGACAAUAGUAAAUACUGUAUUCUGGAUCCGAACUCAGAUUUUUCUGUCUCCAGACGUGAGCACUCUAUCCACUGUAUCACUUAACUGCCCCUAAUAUGGGAAGACUGAAAUUACAGUGACACAGGCAAGGAAAAUGAUGACAACGUUGACUAAAAAAUAACAAUAGAGUAUAAUUUUGAAUGCUGGUUAAGAGUUUUAGAACUGGUCAAAUCACUGUAUUUAGGUAAUUAUCUGAGGCCAAAUUAUUUGAAGAGAGAAAGUUUGACUCACUCUCUUAAACCAAAAUCAGGGGGCAUGGAGAUGGAGAUGACAUUUUCUUUGACCCCAUUAAGUCACUGAAAUUAUGUAUUUUUUCCAUCACCUGGAAAAUGAAUGUAAUACAUGUGAGCUGCAGCAGGACAUUGCCAUAGAAAAUGCCCAUAAAGAAAAAGGCAAAGUGGUUAGAAUUGUAAAGUGUAGCUCAGUGAUUACCAGCAUGGGUUAAAGAAAUCUUCUGAUGCUUAUGAGCCUUCUAGACAAAUGUAAAACAAGUGCCUACACAUUUCCUCUUACUACAGCUUGUCUUGAUCCAAGUUUCCCAACUUUUUGAUUGUAACGUACAGAGUCAAGACAAUUUUUGUUGUACUUCUUACUCACUUGUCAAGUACAAUCCUUCUAACUACUGGGUUUAUGAAGGGCAUUAUAAUGUAUGAUGUUAAAGAAUCUAUGCACUUAAAUCUUCUUAGUGAGUCUUUGAGAUGUGAAGCCCCUGACUAACCUCAUUGCAUGUGUCUGACUUGAGAUUAUAACAUGAAUAUUGACCAGAGAACCAUGGAUGCAAUUCCUGGCUAUUGACAGAGUAUGAGCACAGUAGGAUGACAAAUAGGAUGAUAAAACAAAUAUUAGAACAAUGUCAAAUUAUUACAUGCUCCCUUCAUUUUGCCCAGGGCUAACCAUCCCUCCUCUUAUGAAGCCCACCAAACUAUUACGCUAAUAUCCAAGGGUUGUCUUAGAACAUUAGAAAUUAAACAACCCAAUAGUUGUCAUAUGGGAGAGGCUGAACAUUGGGAAUCUCUU